rnacentral:tRNA from 1 species
AUCUAAAUAGUUUAAGAAGAAUAUUAAUUUGUGGCAUUAAAGGUGAUUAUAUCUUUAGAUUUAUG